rnacentral:tRNA from 1 species
GGAAGGAUCGUCUAACGGCAAGACUGCGGUUUGUGAGACCGCCUAUACCGGUUCAACUCCGGUUCUUUCCCCCA